rnacentral:misc_RNA from 1 species
AAAGGCACUUGUAACCUUCUCCUUUACUGUUGAAAAUCAUGGAUUUCUCCAAGCCCACGAACAUAGGUACAUUGUUGAACUACAUGAAAUUCCUCAUCUUAUUUUUCUCUUUAUGCAUUUGUUAUUCUAUUGUGUGCUGUGUGGGUUAUUUUUUCAAUGCUCCAAAACUGUAUUGAAUUUGAGAUUCUCAUUCUAGCUACAUACGAAAAACACUCCCUUGGACAUUUUCACCGGAAGCAGCCAAAUUGUACUCUGGGGCUCCAAAAGCAGGCUGGUUUUUU